rnacentral:snRNA from 1 species
AUGCUUAUUUCGGCAGUACAUAUACUAAAAUUGGAAUGAUACAGAGAAGAUUAGCAUGGCCCCUGCAUAAGGAUGAC